rnacentral:rRNA from 1 species
AACGAACGCUGGCGGCAUGCCUAACACAUGCAAGUCGAACGAGACCUUCGGGUCUAGUGGCGCACGGGUGAGUAACGCGUGGGAACCUGCCCUUAGGUUCGGAAUAACUCCCCGAAAGGGGUGCUAAUACCGGAUAAUGUCUUCGGACCAAAGCUUUAUCGCCUUUGGAUGGGCCCGGGUUGGAUUAGCUAGUUGGUAGGGUAAAAGCCUACCAAGGCGACGAUCCAUAGCUGGUCUGAGAGGAUGAUCGGCCACACUGGGACUGAGACGAGGCCCAGACGAGAACGUGAGGGAGCGGAGGGGAGGAUAGCAUGAUGGGAGGACGGAUGAUGCAGCGAAGCAGGGUGAGGGAAGACGGCAUUCGGGUUGUGAACCAAAGUCAGCAGGGACGAAGCGUAAGUGACGGUACCUGCAGAAGAAGCUCCGGCCAACUACGUG